GGGCCUGCCUGGCAAACCUGGUCUGGAGGGGCUGCAAGGUCCUGUUGGCAUCCAUGGAUACCCAGGAUCAGUUGGUGACAGAGGAAACCCAGGACCUAGGGGCAAAAAGGGCGAGCCUGGAAUAAGAGGUCCUGUAGGGUUUCCAGGAAAAUCUGGUUCCAAAGGUCCAGCUGGACCACGUGGCAUGAGAGGCCCUCCUGGACCACAGG